rnacentral:rRNA from 1 species
UAAUACGGAGGGUGCAAGCGUUAAUCGGAAUUACUGGGCGUAAAGCGCGCGUAGGCGGCUUGAUAAGUCGGAUGUGAAAUCCCUGGGCUCAACCUGGGAACUGCAUUCGAUACUGUCUGGCUAGAGUGUGGGAGAGGGUGGUGGAAUUCCCGGUGUAGCGGUGAAAUGCGUAGAUAUCGGGAGGAACAUCAGUGGCGAAGGCGACCGCCUGGCCCAACACUGACGCUGAGGUGCGAAAGCGUGGGUAGCAAACAGGAUUAGAUACCCUGGUAGUCCACGCCGUAAACGAUGUCAACUAGCCGUUGGAGACCUUAGAGUCUUUAGUGGCGCAGCUAACGCACUAAGUUGACCGCCUGGGGAGUACGGCCGCAAGGUUA